rnacentral:rRNA from 1 species
GAUGAACGCUGGCGGCGUGCCUAAUACAUGCAAGUCGAGCGAACAGAUGAGGAGCUUGCUCCUCUGACGUUAGCGGCGGACGGGUGAGUAACACGUGGAUAACCUACCUAUAAGCCUGGGAUAACUUCGGGAAACCGGAGCUAAUACAGGAUAAUAAAUUGAAACGAAUGGUUUAAUAGUGAAAGAAGGAUUUGCUGUCACUUAUAAAUGGAUCCGCGCCGCAUUAGCUAGUUGGUAAGGUAACGGCUUACCAAGGCAACGAUGAGUAGCCGACCUGGGAGGUUGAUCGGCCACACUGGAACGGAGACACGUUCCAGACCCCUACGGGAGGCAGCAGGAGGGAAUCUUCCGCAAUGGGCGAAAGCCUGACGGAGCAACGCCGCGUGAGUGAUGAAGGUCUUCGGAUCUAAAAACUCUGUUAUUAGGGAAGAACAAAUGUGUAAGUAACUAUGCACGUCUUGACGGUACCUAAUCAGAAAGCCACGGCUAACUACGUG